UACGGGGGGAGCAAGCGUUGUUCGGAUUUACUGGGCGUAAAGGGCGCGUAGGCGGCCACCGCAAGUCAGUUGUGAAAGCUCUGGGCUUAACCCAGAAAGGUCAACUGAUACUGCGGGGCUAGAGUGCAGAAGGGGCAACUGGAAUUCUCGGUGUAGCGGUGAAAUGCGUAGAUAUCGAGAGGAACACCUGCGGCGAAGGCGGGUUGCUGGGCUGACACUGACGCUGAAGUGCGAAAGCUAGGGGAGCGAACAGG
rnacentral:rRNA from 1 species